AUUGUACUCAGAAUGAUAUGUGGAUUUUAAUCACUUUAUGCUGGAACUCAACACUAUUUUGCGCGCGCACGGAGAGCACACCACAUGUAGGAGCAGCAGUCCUAUUUUCAAAGGUUUUUUCCCCACAAAUUUCUUCAACCCCUGCCGCACUUAGCAAACUGCACAACAGUGGGGCUAAACAUUUGCUGUCAGGGGCUUCAAGCAAUACUAGCAUUGACAUGUCAAGAGAAGUUGUCAUUCAAUGUUUGAUGGUGUAUCUUGGGGAUUCUAUAGAUCACCUCUUAAAAGAGUACAAUGACAAUGAUGGAGACACAGAACAUUGCUGAAGAAAGGAUAAAAAUCUACAAAAUCAAGAAUUAAAUGUCAGCAGGAUCUGACAACAUUGGUUUUCUUCCUGCUCUGGGGCUGAGAGUGAUCCACCACCUAAAUAAUACCUGCUCUGUGGUGGUCCUGUGGGGGUCCUAACCUUGAAGAACAGGGCGAAAGGGGGCUAACAAAGCAUGUAGACAAAUGGAUAGAUUACAGUCAGUAAUUGUAGAACUACAAAGUGCUUCUAUAUGGUAAGUGUAGCUGAUAAAAUGGACAGUGAGUGUAGAAACAAGGAGGUGGUUUUAAUGUUGUAACUGAUCAGUGUAGUUGCACUUGUCUUUUAGAAGAACACAUUGUUAUGUUUGUUGGUGCAUGUAAUUAAUAAAAGUGUUCAUAUGAAAAUAGAAAAA